CCCGCUAAAUCCGUGCCAGCAGGCGAGGUAAGAAGGGGGGGUGAAGCGUUAUUCGGAGUUAGUGGGUUUAAAGGGUCCGUAGGCGGACUUGUAAGGCAGUGGUGAAAUCUCAUAGCUUAACUAUGAAACUGCCAUUGAUACUGCAGGUCUUGAGUAAAUUUGAAGUGGCUGGAAUAAGUAGUGUAGCGGUGAAAUGCAUAGAUAUUACUUAACACCAAUUGCGAAGGCAGGUCACUAAGAUUUAACUGACGCUGAUGGACGAAAGCGUGGGUAGCGAACAGGAUUAGAUACCCGUGUAGUC
rnacentral:rRNA from 1 species